AGAGUUUGAUCCUGGCUCAGAAUCAACGCUGGCGGCGUGCCUAACACAUGCAAGUCGAACGAGAAAGGGGAGCAAUCCCUGAGUAAAGUGGCGACCGGGUGAGUAACACGUGACUAACCUACCCUUGAGUGGGGGAUAACCUCGGGAAACCGAGGCUAAUACCGCAUAAUAUCGAAAGAUCAAAGGAGUAAUCCGCUUUUGGAGGGGGUCGCGGCUGAUUAGCUAGUUGGUAGGGUAAUGGCCUACCAAGGCGAAGAUCGGUAUCCGGCCUGAGAGGGCGCACGGACACACUGGAACUGAAACACGGUCCAGACUCCUACGGGAGGCAGCAGUGGGGAAUUUUGCGCAAUGGGGGAAACCCUGACGCAGCAACGCCGCGUGGAGGAUGAAGCCCCUUGGGGUGUAAACUCCUUUCGACUGGGAAGAUUAUGACGGUACCAGUGGAAGAAGCAC
rnacentral:rRNA from 1 species